rnacentral:rRNA from 1 species
AGUGAACGCUGGCGGUAGGCCUAACACAUGCAAGUCGAACGGCAGCACAGGAGAGCUUGCUCUCUGGGUGGCGAGUGGCGGACGGGUGAGGAAUACAUCGGAAUCUACUUUUUCGUGGGGGAUAACGUAGGGAAACUUACGCUAAUACCGCAUACGACCUACGGGUGAAAGCAGGGGAUCUUCGGACCUUGCGCGAUUGAAUGAGCCGAUGUCGGAUUAGCUAGUUGGCGGGGUAAAGGCCCACCAAGGCGACGAUCCGUAGCUGGUAGGAGGGGAUGAACAGCCACAAUGGAACUGAGACACGGUCCAGACUCCUACGGGAGGCAGCAGUGGGGAAUAUUGGACAAUGGGCGCAAGCCUGAUCCAGCCAUACCGCGUGAGUGAAGAAGGCCUUCGGGUUGUAAAGCCCUUUUGUUGGGAAAGAAAUCCAGCUGGUUAAUACCCGGUUGGGAUGACGGUACCCAAAGAAUAAGCACCGGCUAACUUCGUGCCAGCAGCCGCCGUAA